CACGUAGUUAGCCGUGGCUUCCUCCUUAGCUACCGUCAUUAUCGUCACUAAGGACAGAGGUUUACAAUCCGAAAACCGUCUUCCCUCACGCGGCGUUGCUGCAUUAGGGUUUCCCCCAUUGUGCAAUAUCCCCCACUGCUGCCUCCCGUAGGAGUCUGGGCCGUGUCUCAGUCCCAAUGUGGCCGAUCAACCUCUCAGUUCGGCUACCGAUCGUCGCCUUGGUAGGCCGUUACCCCACAACUAGCUAAUCGGACGCGAGCCCAUCUAAAAGCGGAUUGCUCCUUUGAUCUCAGAACCAUGCAGUUCCGAGAUGUUAUGCGGUAUUAGCGACCGUUUCCAGUCGUUAUCCCCCUCUUCUAGGCAGGUUGCUCACGCGUUACUCACCCGUCCGCCACUAAGUUUGCUCCCGAAGGAACAAACUCCGUUCGACUUGCAUGUGUUAGGCACGCCGCCAGCGUUCGUCCUGAGCCAGGAGUCAAACUACU
rnacentral:rRNA from 1 species